rnacentral:tRNA from 1 species
GUUCAUGUAGCUUAUAACACCAAAGCAAGGCACUGAAAAUGCCUAGAUGAGUUUUUAAACUCCAUAAACA